AAAAAAAAAAAAAAAUAAAAAAAAAAAAAAAAAAAAAGUUAUAAUAAAAGCAUAAACUUAGUUGUCACAAAUAAAAAAAAAGAAUAAGAUAGUACAACUAAACUUGCUUACACAUAUAAGUAACUAUUUUUUUUUUUAAAUACCUUUUUGUUUAACUGUAAAAUUGUUAAGUAUUAGAACUGUAAUCGAACAUAUACCGAAGUUAUGUCAAAGGAAUAUUAUUAUAAUUAUUACAAACUUUUUUUUUUUUUUUUUUUUUUUUUUUUUUUUUUUUUAGCAGUUUUAUGUUCAGGUUUUCAAAUUUUACAUAAAUUUGGUAGUGAUGAAGUAUUUGAUACUUAUAGUAUAAUUGCUUUUUUUGCAAUGGGUAUAUUAGGAGGUUAUAUUCAAGCAAUAGCAUUUAGAGUAGCAACUACAUUAAAAAAAAAUUAUAGUGGUUAUAUAUCUACAGGAAUUGGUUUAUCUUCAGUUAUAACUUUUUCAAUUAAUUUAUUACUUGAUUUGUUUGUUAGCCAAGAAAAGAAAUAUAAAAUAAACAAACAGAAAUUACAAUUUUUGUUUGGUGUGGCUGAAUUAAGUAUUUUAAUAACUCUUAUUUUAAUGUUAUUAUAUUUAAAUUUAUCAACGAAAGAGAAAAUACAAAUUCAGAAGAAAGAAGAAAAAUCACUAUCAUAUAUAGAUUUAAUUAAAGAUAGUUAUAAAGCAAUAUUAGCAAUGUUUUUAAUUAAUUGGUUAACAUUAAACUUAUUUCCUGGUGUAGGACAUAAAAAAUGGGUAGAAUCUCAUAAUUUUACUCCCAAACAUAUUACAUUUUUAGUUGGUAUGUUUCAAUUAUUUGAUUUUAUCGGUAGAUAUCCACCUAAUUUACAUCAUAUUAAAUAUUUUAAAUAUUUUAAUUUUCCAUUAAAUACUCUAUUAAUAUUAACUGUAAUCAGAAUGUUAUUUAUCCCAUGGUUUAUUUUUAACAUAGUUUUUCAUUUUGCUCCAUUUUCCAAUUAUGUUCAGCAAUGUAUUUGUAUGGCCUUGUUUGCUUUUACUAAUGGUUGGUUUAAUACUGUAACAUUUUUAGCAUUUAUUAAAGAAUUAAAAAUAGCAAAAAGUAAAGAAGAUAUAGAAAAAAUAUCAAAUUUAUUGGUUGUUGCUUUAUUCCUUGGUUUAGCUUCCGGUAUAUAUACAACUCCUAUGUAUAAUUUUAUACCCAUUCCUGUAGCAGAUGCGAUUGCUGUACCAGCUGCUUAAGUGGAUAAAUGAAUGAAUAAUUAAAUAAGUACAUAAAUAAGUACAUAAAUAAGUGCAUAAAUAUAUAACAGCACAAAUAUAUAACUGCACAAAUAUA
rnacentral:lncRNA from 1 species